AGAUGAACCCGGUGAAUGGUAGAACCGGGGUAAGCGUGUAGGAGGAGGACCAGGCAAAUCCGGGCCUCAUAUACUCUGAGACGUGAUACCGAGCCGCUUCAGGCGAAGUCAUUAAUCCUAUGCUGCCUAGAAAAGCCCAGUAGCGAGUUGACAUGGUGCCCGUACCCCAAACCAACACAGGUGGACAGGUAGAGCAUACCAAGGCGAGUGGGAUAACUAUGGUUAAGGGACUCGGCAAAUUUCCUCCGUAACUUCGGGAUAAGGAGGACCCCAGAAGCGUGACGAGACUUGCUCUCCGAGCGUGAAGGGGUGGCACAAAAUUGAGGGAAGCGACUGUUUACCAAAAACACAGCAGCGUGCUAAGCCGUAAGGCGCUGUAUACGCUGUGACUCCUGCCCGGUGCUGGAAGGUUACGGGGAUGGGUUAGUCCUUUGGGACGAAGCUCUGAACCUAAGCCCCAGUAAACGGCGGCCGUAACUAUAACGGUCCUAAGGUAGCGAAAUUCCUUGUCGGGUAAGUUCCGACCUGCACGAAUGGAGUAACGACUUCCCUACUGUCUCAACCAUAGACCCAGCGAAAUUGAAGUACGAGUAAAGAUGCUCGUUAGCUGCAGAAGGACGGAAAGACCCCGUGGACCUUUACUAUAACUUGAUGUUGUGUUUUGUCAUAUGUUGUGUAGGAUAGGUGGGAGACAAGGAAGCAUGGACGCUAGUCUGUGUGGAGUCAUCGUUGAAAUACCACCCUGCAUAUGGUGAGGCUCUAACCUAGACCCGUUAUCCGGGUUGGGGACAGCGUCAGGCGGGUAGUUUAACUGGGGCGGUUGCCUCCUAAAGAGUAACGGAGGCGCCCAAAGGUUCCCUCAGCCUGGUUGGCAAUCAGGCGUCGAGUGCAAUGGCAAAAGGGAGCUUGACUGCGAGACCUACAAGUCGAGCAGGAGCGAAAGCUGGGCAUAGUGAUCCGGCGGUUGCGUGUGGAAGCGCCGUCGCUCAACGGAUAAAAGGUACCCCGGGGAUAACAGGCUAAUCUUGCCCAAGCGUCCAUAGCGACGGCAAGGUUUGGCACCUCGAUGUCGGCUCAUCGCAUCCUGGGGCUGAAGCAGGUCCCAAGGGUUGGGCUGUUCGCCCAUUAAAGCGGUACGCGAGCUGGGUUCAGAACGUCGUGAGACAGUUCGGUCCCUAUCCUCUGUAGCCGUAGGUGAAUUGAGGAAAGCUGUCCCUAGUACGAGAGGACCGGGACGGACGCAGCUCUCGUGUGCCAGUUGUCCUGCCAAGGGCAUGGCUGGUUAGCGACCUGCGGAAAGGAUAACCGCUGAAAGCAUCUAAGCGGGAAGCCUCUUCCAAGAUGAUUUCACCCACAGGGUUAACCUGGUAAGGCCCGUGGUAGACCACCACGUUGAUAGGCCGGAAGUGUAAGCGAGGCAACACGUUCAGCUGACCGGUACUAAUCGGCC
rnacentral:rRNA from 1 species